rnacentral:rRNA from 1 species
AACGAACGCUGGCGGCAGGCCUAACACAUGCAAGUCGAGCGAGGACUUCGGUUCUAGCGGCGGACGGGUGAGUAACGCGUGGGACUGUGCCCUUCUCUACGGAAUAGCCCUGGGAAACUGGGAGUAAUACCGUAUACGCCCUAUUGGGGAAAGAUUUAUCGUAGAAGGAUCAGCCCGCGUUGGAUUAGGUAGUUGGUGGGGUAAUGGCCUACCAAGCCGACGAUCCAUAGCUGGUUUGAGAGGAUGAUCAGCCACACUGGGACUGAGACACGGCCCAGACUCCUACGGGAGGCAGCAGUGGGGAAUCUUAGACAAUGGGGGCAACCCUGAUCGAGCCAGGCCGGGUGAGUGAUGAAGGCCUUAGGGUAGUAAAGCUCUUUCAGCUGGGAAGAUAAUGACGGUACCAGCAGAAGAAGCCCCGGCUAACUCCGUG